CCUACGGGAGGCAGCAGUGGGGAAUAUUGCACAAUGGGGGAAACCCUGAUGCAGCGACGCCGCGUGAGUAAAGAAGUAUUUCGGUACGUAAAGCUCUAUCAGCAGGGAAGAAAAUGACGGUACCUGACUAAGAAGCCCCGGCUAACUACGUGCCAGCAGCCGCGGUAAUACGUAGGGGGCAAGCGUUAUCCGGAUUUACUGGGUGUAAAGGGAGCGUAGACGGCAGCGCAAGUCUGGAGUGAAAUCCCAUGGCUUAACCAUGGAACUGCUUUGGAAACUGUGCAGCUAGAGUGCAGGAGAGGUAAGCGGAAUUCCUAGUGUAGCGGUGAAAUGCGUAGAUAUUAGGAGGAACACCAGUGGCGAAGGCGGCUUACUGGACUGUAACUGACGUUAAGGCUCGAAAGCGUGGGGAGCAAACAGGAUUAGAUACCCGAGUAGUC
rnacentral:rRNA from 1 species